AUGUUUUUUUGUCUGCACAACAAACAAACCGAUGGUUGUGUCUAUAUGUGACACUUUAAAGUUCAAACCUUUUGGUACCAUUAUAAUUAGCAUCGUGUUUAUCCUUGGAGAAAGUAGCACAAAGCUAUGUUAUUGGCUACUCUCAAUGAGUCAGUGAGAGCCAAGAUUAUUUUCAAGUACAUAAUUACAUUUUUGCACCACUUUUUGAAACUUUUCAAAACUACACGAAUUUCCCUGUUCUUGCAUUUUAACUUAUUGCCAUCCACUUAAAUAAGUACACAGAUGUUGUAUUAAAAGAGGUCAGUCUACAUGUUUCUAUAGGAAUUAAGAAGUGAAGAUGCAGCUGACUAUUCUGUAGACAUGAAAGGAUCCAGCCGUCGCAACCACACACAAUGGUUGAGCACAAGUACAAUGGCCUUAUUCGACAUUUUGAACUAUUGACAUGCAUCCGCUUAAAUAGUUGUGUGGAAUGAUCAAGGGGAAGCAAGGCCCAGAAUGCAGUAUCGAUCGAGUAGUAUCUCCUUAAUCAAUGACUAGAAUUAUUGUCCGCUGCAUCUUCCAUGGAUUGAGAGAUCUCGAUGUUUUUGUGAACUAAUCAGAUUGAGAUGAGUUAUUUGAUUUAAGCGCAAAUAUAUAUCUUAGAUAAAUAUGCUCUUAGAUGUGGAGACUCUGCUAUUACAUUAUUCAGCUUCACUUAGUCUUGUUUCUUAGACUUAUUUUGCUUCUUUGUGUAGGCUAGGUUAAGAAAGGCAUAGGAAUGGGUAUCGUUUUCAGUUUUAUCA